GCCAGCCAGGAAGGAGGAGGCAGCCAGAGUGUUCUCUGCAGCAGAAGACCUCUUGCUGCCCUGCUUAACCCAGACCAGCAUUUUCCAGAAUGUUUGAAGAUAUUUCAUCAUAAGAACAUAAGAACAGUCCUGCUGGAUCAGGCCCAGCGCCCAUCCAGUCCAGCAUCCUGUUUCAUACAGUGGCCCAUCAGAUGCCCCUGGGAAGCUCACAGGCAAGAGCCCAUUUGAGAGAAGUUACUGCACUCCACAUCUCAACCAGGUCACAGUACUAUUAUGAAUGCAUGGAUAUUGAGAUGUUGCUUCAAGCCUAUCGUGAUUCGUGACAAGUGGUGGUUGUAGUAGAACAGCUCAGCACGCUAAUCUCCCUCCUGUUCUGAAUCUAAUGACAUUCAUUCAUCUACAAGAGUGUGACAUGCAGAUUGCGAGCCCUUCAGGAACAGGGAACCAUCUUAUUUGUAGACUUUUUCUGCAAUAAACUGC